UCUCCCUGACCAUGCAUCCAAGACUUUCACAGAAAGUGACUUCAUGGUACUGAGGACCAGGCAAAUUUGAGGAGAAAAGAGGACAAAGUCUGAGCAGUUUGAAUGCACACAGCAGAAGAGCUGGAGCCAGCAAUUUGGGUACACAACUGUGUAUGGACACAUUAGAAACAGUGUCAUAAGAGGGAGAAGAAAGAAGUGCACAGAGCCUGACCUGCACCUGAACUGGCAAUGGCAGAAGAGAGAGGACUUCCAGGAUGAGCUGAUGAGUAAAAGAAGUUCUGUAAGAAAAGCUGUCUCUCUGGUGCACCCUGAGCAUCCUCUGCUCUGUCUUUUCAGUGACUGCAUUCAAGGAUGGCAAGAGAUCACGUACCAUUACGUAACCAUUUGAGUGAAAAGAAUUUUCCUCAAAAGUACUUGGGACACUAAGCAGA